rnacentral:tRNA from 1 species
GCAGGUGUAGUAUAACGGCUAGUACAAUUGCCUUCCAAGCAAUGGGCGUGGGUUCGACUCCCAUCACUUGCUCCA